GUUUGUUUGAUGGUACCUGCUACUCGGAUAACCGUAGUAAUUCUAGAGCUAUACGUGCAACCAAACCCGACUUCUGGAAGGGAUGCAUUAUAGAUAAAAGGUCGACGGGUUAACCGUUGCUCUGAUGAUUCAUGAUAACUGACGAUCGCAUAGCUUUGACGCUGGCGACGCAUCAUUCAAAUUUCUGCCCUAUCAACCUAAUGUAGGAUAGUGGCCUACCAUGGUGGUGACGGGUGACGAGAAUUAGGUUCGAUUCCGGAGAGGGAGCCUGAGAAAACGGCUACCACAUCCAGAAGGCAGCAGGCGCGCAAAUUACCCAAUCUGACACGGGAGGUAGUGACAAUAAAUAACAAUACGGGCUCAUUGAGUCUGGUAAUUGGAAUGAGUACAAUCUAAAUCCCUUAACGAGGAUCAUUGGAGGCAAGUCUGGUGCCGCAGCCGCGGUAAUUCCAGCUCAAUAGCGUAUAUUUUAAGUUGUUGCAGUUAAAAGCUCGUAGUUGGACCUUGGGAUGGGGCGACCGGUCCGCCUCCGGCGAGCACCGAUUCGUCUCGUCCCUUCUGCCGGCGAUGCGCUCCUGGCCUUAAUUGGCCGGGUCGUGCCUCCGGCGCUGUUACUUUGAAAGAAAUUAGAGUGCUUCAAAGCAGGCCUAAGCUCUGGAUACAUUAGCAUGGAUAACAUCAUAGGAUUCCGGUCCUAUUGUGUUGGCCUUCGGGAUCGGAGUAAUGAUAACAGGGACAGUCGGGCAAGUCUAUUUCAUAGUCAGAGGUGAAAUUCUUGAUUUAUAAGAAGAACACUGCGAAAGCAUUUGCCAAGGAUGUUUUCAUUAAUCAAGAACGAAAGUUGGGGCUCGAAGACGAUCAGAUACCGUCCUAGUCUCAACCAUAAACGAUGCCGACCAGGGAUCGCGGAUGUUACUUUUAGGACCCGCCGGCACCUUAUGGAAAUCAAAGUUUUUGGGUUCCGGGGGAGUAUGGUCGCAAGGCUGAAACUUAAAGGAAUUGACGGAAGAGCAUCAUGAGAAGAGGAUUCCAGGGAGAUGAGGAAGGAGGCUGAAGAAAGAAGCACCACUUCUUUUAAUCAAAAAAAUUCCAACAAUAAUCAAUUACCAUCUGUUUAGUUCCCUUCUGUGUAUUUUCUAAACGCUUUUAUCUUGAGGGUGUGUGUUGUGUUGUGUUGUGACCCAGAUCAGCUGGUGCGUGUGCUUUGUACUUCCUGCUGAACCGGGUUUAUCUGGUUUGGCUAGGCUUAUGUUUCUGUUAUUAUUGUCAUUAUCCAGCUAAGUGCUCAUGUAUUUAUGCUUGAUCUUCUGUAUUCCAUCUUA
rnacentral:rRNA from 1 species